rnacentral:rRNA from 1 species
AGAGGUCUCAACCGUUGUUCGGAUUCAUUGGGCGUAAAGGGUGCGUAGGCGGUCGCGCAAGUCGGAUGUGAAAUCUCAGGGCUCAACCCUGAAACUGCAUUCGAUACUGCGUGGCUAGAGUGCUGGAGAGGAGACUGGAAUUUACGGUGUAGCAGUGAAAUGCGUAGAUAUCGUAAGGAAGACCAGUGGCGAAGGCGAGUCUCUGGACAGCAACUGACGCUGAGGCACGAAGGCCAGGGGAGCAAACGGGAUUAGAUACCCCGGUAGUCCUGGCAGUAAACGGUGCACGUUUGGUGUAGGCGGAUUCGACCCCGCCUGUGCCGGASUAACGCGUUAAACGUGCCGCCUGGGAAGUACGGUCGCAAGAUUA